rnacentral:rRNA from 1 species
GAACGCGAAGACCCAGCAAUGGGUUUGUAGCGUGGCAAACGGGUGAGUAACGCGUGGGCGACCUACCCUCGAGUGGGGGAUAACCUUCCGAAAGGAGGGCUAAUACCGCAUGACAUCCCGUGUUUGGAUACACGGAGAUCAAAGCCGGGGAUCGCAAGACCUGGCGCUUGAAGAGGGGCCCGCGUCCGAUUAGCUAGUUGGUGAGGUAACGGCCCACCAAGGCGACGAUCAGUAUCCGGCCUGAGAGGGCGGACGGACACACUGGGACUGAGACACGGCCCAGACUCCUACGGGAGGCAGCAGUGGGGAAUUGUUCGCAAUGGGCGCAAGCCUGACGACGCAACGCCGCGUGGAGGAUGAAGAUCUUCGGGUCGUAAACUCCUUUCGAUCGAGACGAACGGCUUCCGGGUGAACAAUCCGGGAGAGUGACGGUACCGAGAGAAGAAGCCCCGGCUAACUCCGUG